GAUGAACGCUGGCGGCGUGCUUAACACAUGCAAGUCGAACGGAAAGGCCCAAGCUUGCUUGGGUACUCGAGUGGCGAACGGGUGAGUAACACGUGGGUGAUCUGCCCUGCACUUCGGGAUAAGCCUGGGAAACUGGGUCUAAUACCGGAUAGGACCACAUUUUGGAUGGUGUGGUGGAAAGUUUUUCGGUGUGGGAUGAGCUCGCGGCCUAUCAGCUUGUUGGUGGGGUAAUGGCCUACCAAGGCGUCGACGGGUAGCCGGCCUGAGAGGGUGUACGGCCACAUUGGGACUGAGAUACGGCACAGACUCCUACGGGAGGCAGCAGUGGGGAAUAUUGCACAAUGGGCGCAAGCCUGAUGCAGCGACGCCGCGUGGGGGAUGACGGCCUUCGGGUUGUAAACUCCUUUCGCUAGGGACGAAGCGCAAGUGACGGUACCUGGAGAAGAAGCACCGGCUAACUACGUG
rnacentral:rRNA from 1 species